rnacentral:rRNA from 1 species
ACCAACAGGGAUUGCCCUAGUAACGGCGAGUGAAGCGGCAACAGCUCAAAUUUGAAAUCUGGCUCUUUCAGAGUCCGAGUUGUAAUUUGCAGAGGGCGCUUUGGCUUUGGCAGCGGUCCAAGUUCCUUGGAACAGGACGUCACAGAGGGUGAGAAUCCCGUACGUGGUCGCUAGCUAUUGCCGUGUAAAGCCCCUUCGACGAGUCGAGUUGUUUGGGAAUGCAGCUCUAAAUGGGAGGUAAAUUUCUUCUAAAGCUAAAUAUUGGCCAGAGACCGAUAGCGCACAAGUAGAGUGAUCGAAAGAUGAAAAGCACUUUGGAAAGAGAGUCAAACAGCACGUGAAAUUGUUGAAAGGGAAGCGCUUGCAGCCAGACUUGCUUGCAGUUGCUCAUCCGGGCUUUUGCCCGGUGCACUCUUCUGUAGGCAGGCCAGCAUCAGUUUGGGCGGUGGGAUAAAGGUCUCUGUCACGUACCUCUCUUCGGGGAGGCCUUAUAGGGGAGACGACAUACCACCAGCCUAGACUGAGGUCCGCGCAUCUGCUAGGAUGCUGGCGUAAUGGCUGUAAGCGGCCCGUCUUGAAACACGGACCAAGGAGUCUAACAUCUAUGCGAGUGUUUGGGUGUCAAGCCCGAGCGCGUAAUGAAAGUGAACGGAGGUGGGAACCCGCAAGGGUGCACCAUCGACCGAUCCUGAAGUUUACGGAAGGAUUUGAGUAAGAGCAUGGCUGUUGGGACCCGAAAGAUGGUGAACUAUGCUUGAAUAGGGUGAAGCCAGAGGAAACUCUGGUGGAGGCUCGCAGCGGUUCUGACGUGCAAAUCGAUCGUCAAAU